GACGAACGCUGGCGGCGUGCCUAAUACAUGCAAGUCGAACGCAGUGGGGACAGUUGAGUAACACGUGGGUAACCUCCCCAUCAGAGUGGAUAACACUUGGCAACAGGUGCUAAACCGAUACUGAUUGAUGGACCCGCGGUGCAUUAGCUAGUUGGUGGGCUAACGGCUCACCACGUCCACGAUGCAUAGCUGAAAUGAGAGGUGGAGCAGCCACACGGGGACUGAGACACGGCCCAGAAUCCUACGGGAGGCAGCAGUAGGGAAUCUUCGGCAAUGGACGAAAGUCUGAGCCAGCCACGCCGCGUGCGUGAAGAAGGUUUUCGGAUCGUAAAACACUGUUGUUAGAGAAGAGGUAUCUAACCAGAAAGCCCCGGCUAACUACGUGCCAGCAGCCGCGGUAAUAC
rnacentral:rRNA from 1 species